ensembl:snRNA U6 U6 spliceosomal RNA
GUGCUCGCUUCGGCAGCACAUAUACUAAAAUUGGAACGAUACAGAGAUUAGCAUGCCCCCUGCGCAAGGAUGAUCCAUAUUUUUCUUAAAAAACAAAACAAAACA